rnacentral:rRNA from 1 species
UACGUAGGCAGCGAGCGUUGUUCGGAAUUACUGGGCGUAAAGAGUGUGUAGGCGGUGCUCUAAGUUCGGUGUGAAACCUCCUGCUCAACUGGGAGGGUGCGCCGGAAACUGGAGUGCUUGAGCGUGGGAGAGGAAAGCGGAAUUCCUGGUGUAGCGGUGAAAUGCGUAGAUAUCAGGAGGAACACCUGUGGUGUAGACGGCUUUCUGGACCAUAGCUGACGCUGAGACACGAAAGCGUGGGUAGCAAACAGG